rnacentral:lncRNA from 1 species
AUGCUAAAUCCUCCUGUUUCUUACACAAACUUCGAGACUGAGACCCAGACCGGGCGGUGUGCUGGAAGGAAGCCAACAGCCAUGAACUCUCGCUGGAAGCAACUGCUUUGGGAUAAUAACAAAAUGAUUUCACUAUGGAAAAAAAAUGCAGAGAAAAGGAACUGGAGCUGUUUGAUUGGCUAAUAAUGAACAUAAAGGACUUCAUGCUUGUUGAAUGGCAGAUUGAAAUCCAGGAAGUUGGUCUAAAUGAGGAACUGCCCUGUGACAAUACCACUACUGCUGCACCUUAUAUGUGAUGGACAUCGUGGUUUGUGGUUCAUGGCACUGUUAACACUUGUUAUCCGGUCCCGUCCUCACAGUGUUUGCACACUGAUAGUUGAAUGCAUGUCUGUGCACCCAGUUAGCUUUGGAAUGCCAUGACAGGAACCGGAUCAUAUUCAUUCUAUGAGGCUUCUCCUCUUUCCAUUUAAUUGUUUGUGAAUUCUCUGAAGUAAUUUGUUUCAAAGAACACUGCCUCGUAGAAAAUCUCCCUUUCCCAGCAUUCUGGGAUUAUCUGGCAUAUAGAACAAAUGCUGUUGUGGCAAAGUUAUAUUACAUAAUGGCAUUAAGUUGAUAAAUGAAUGGAAGACACCAUGGAACAUUAACAUGGGUGGCUUGCGUUUGCAUGGGUGGAAUUCUCAGAUAACUUCAGUCUGCAAAACUCAUCCACAGCUGCUGUAGGUAUAUUCUCUUUCCCAAGCAGGCUAAUAAGGUUUUGCUGAGCAUGUGUGCUCUUUAUAGAACCUUCUGGCUUUCUAGAACUCCAUCAGUAACUUUUUAGGAAUUUGUCUCCAUUUUGUCUCAG